rnacentral:lncRNA from 1 species
GGCACAGAGAGGUGGAUACUACGCCCUUUUGCAAUGUGUACUAUAUUUGCAGCCAAGCACACGAUGGUCGAGAUAGGAGAUGGCAUCAGGAAAGAUUUCCGUCGAUUCUAGAACGUAAAUAAACAGUCGAUCUUUCAAACUAUUUGGUAAAAGUCGAGCACGGCGUGGUUUCCUGGAGGCAACUACCUUAACAAUUUCGUAUUCAGUACCUCUCCAUCCCAUCCCUUCAUCUUAAGAACUACAUAAACCAUGAGUCUUCCAUUGUGUCAGGUUCUCCUUUGCAUUGAUGGAUUUAAUGAAAUGCGCCGGUCAGUUGAGUAUGAAUACGAAAGCAUAGUGGAUGCAAUUCCAAUACGCAAUGCCAACGCCCAAAAACAUGGCAAGGAGAAUCAUCGGAGUAGGUGGAGGUGCUUUAGAUUGCCCUGCCGAUCUAGCAAUCUAUCACGGACUAUCACUGAUCACUGCUCAGAGAGGCAGGUGUUGAGAUUUUGUUGGGACUUGAUUGCAUCAAGGGUACCUAGAUCCCUGGACAUAACUAGGUAGUCGAGUCGCACUAUGUAUGUACUUACAUUUUGACGAAACUGGCUCAAUACGAGCUGUGAUUACAUCGCCUGCUCGUAGUGUUUGCCACAGUUCAAGAACGGAGGACUGUUAUUAUGCCUU